GUGAUUAAAUCGAGCAGCGCUCUUCAUUGACCGCUCACCCUUCUACACAUCCACAUACAGCCUGUGGCUACUGUUUAGCCUGAGCCGGUUUUCCGGUCCAGGUUAUCAUUUCAUACAAACUCUAGUCUUAUGAAUGUAGAACGUUUUAAUAACAUAAUA
rnacentral:misc_RNA from 1 species